GCUCCCGUGGCACAGUUGGAUAGCGCAGCCGCCUCCUAAGCGGCAGGUCACAGGUUCGAAUCCUGUCGGGAGCGCCA
rnacentral:tRNA from 1 species